rnacentral:rRNA from 1 species
UNUGACUUGAGUGCAGAAGGGGAGAGUGGAAUUCCAUGUGUAGCGGUGAAAUGCGUAGAUAUAUGGAGGAACACCAGUGGCGAAAGCGGCUCUCCGGUCUGUCACUGACGCUGAGGCUCGAAAGCGUGGGUAGCGAACAGGAUUAGAUACCCUGGUAGUCCACGCCGUAAACGAUGAGUGCUAGGUGUUAGGCCCUUUCCGGGGCUUAGUGCCGGAGCUAACGCAAUAAGCACUCCGCCUGGGGAGUACGACCGCAAGGUUGAAACUCAAAGGAAUUGACGGGGGCCCGCACAAGCGGUGGAGCAUGUGGUUUAAUUCGAAGCAACGCGAAGAACCUUACCAGGUCUUGACAUCCCGAUGCUAUUCUUAGAGAUAGGAAGUUACUUCGGUACAUCGGAGACAGGUGGUGCAUGGUUGUCGUCAGCUCGUGUCGUGAGAUGUUGGGUUAAGUCCCGCAACGAGCGCAACCCUUAUUGUUAGUUGCCAUCAUUAAGUUGGGCACUCUAGCGAGACUGCCGGUAAUAAACCGGAGGAAGGUGGGGAUGACGUCAAAUCAUCAUGCCCCUUAUGACCUGGGCUACACACGUGCUACAAUGGUCGGUACAACGAGUUGCGAGCCGGUGACGGCAAGCUAAUCUCUGAAAGCCGAUCUCAGUUCGGAUUGGAGGCUGCAACUCGCCUCCAUGAAGUCGGAAUCGCUAGUAAUCGCGGAUCAGCACGCCGCGGUGAAUACGUUCCCGGGCCUUGUACACACCGC